CUACUUCGCGGUGACUGGGAUUCUUGGACAUUUUUCGAAGACCCUUCUGCUGUUUUUCAUCCCGCAGCUUCUCAACUUCGUCAUUUCCCUUCCUCAGCUCUUUGGACUCGUCACCUGCCCACGCCACCGAACGCCUCGUUUAAAUCGUGCGACGGGGAAGCUGGAGAGCUCAGGCAACUGGACGCUCAUCAACCUCGUUUUGCAG